rnacentral:rRNA from 1 species
GAUGAACGCUGGCGGCGUGCUUAACACAUGCAAGUCGAACGGAAAGGCCCAAGCUUGCUUGGGUGCUCGAGUGGCGAACGGGUGAGUAACACGUGGGUGAUCUGCCCUGCACUUUGGGAUAAGCCUGGGAAACUGGGUCUAAUACCGGAUAGGACCAUCGAUUAGUGUCGGUGGUGGAAAGUUUUUCGGUGUGGGAUGAGCUCGCGGCCUAUCAGCUUGUUGGUGGGGUAAUGGCCUACCAAGGCGUCGACGGGGAGCCGGCCUGAGAGGGUGGACGGCCACAUUGGGACUGGGAUACGGCCCAGUCUCCUACGGGGGGCAGCAGUGGGGAAUAUUGCACCAUGGGCGCAAGCCUGAUGCAGCGACGCCGCGUGGGGGAUGACGGCCUUCGGGUUGUAAACUCCUUUCGCCAAGGACUAAGCGUUUUGUGACGGUACUUGGAGAAGAAGCACCGGCUAACUACGUG